rnacentral:rRNA from 1 species
CUGCGGCAGCGAACGUAUCACCCAAGACAACUUUACGGAGUUGACGAUUGACGGAGCGAAGCGACGUCAAAGCGUUCAUUAAAGUCGAGUUGGCUUAGGGAUACGUUCGUUGGGUAGGGGAGCGUUCUGUAAGCCUGUGAAGGUGUGUCGUGAGGCAUGCUGGAGGUAUCAGAAGUGCGAAUGCUGACAUAAGUAACGAUAAAGCGGGUGAAAAGCCCGCUCGCCGGAAGACCAAGGGUUCCUGUCCAACGUUAAUCGGGGCAGGGUGAGUCGACCCCUAAGGCGAGGCCGAAAGGCGUAGUCGAUGGGAAACGGGUUAAUAUUCCCGUACUUGGUGUUACUGCGAAGGGGGGACGGAGAAGGCUAUGUUGGCCGGGCGACGGUUGUCCCGGUUUAAGCGUGUAGGUGUGUGUUCCAGGUAAAUCCGGUUCACUUUAACACUGAGGCGUGACGACGAGGCACUACGGUGCUGAAGCAACAAAUGCCCUGCUUCCAGGAAAAGCCUCUAAGCAUCAGGUAACAUCAAAUCGUACCCCAAACCGACACAGGUGGUCAGGUAGAGAAUACCAAGGCGCUUGAGAGAACUCGGGUGAAGGAACUAGGCAAAAUGGUGCCGUAACUUCGGGAGAAGGCACGCUGACACGUAGGUGAAGUGAUUUACUCAUGGAGCUGAAGUCAGUCGAAGAUACCAGCUGGCUGCAACUGUUUAUUAAAAACACAGCACUGUGCAAACACGAAAGUGGACGUAUACGGUGUGACGCCUGCCCGGUGCCGGAAGGUUAAUUGAUGGGGUCAGCGCAAGCGAAGCUCCUGAUCGAAGCCCCGGUAAACGGCGGCCGUAACUAUAACGGUCCUAAGGUAGCGAAAUUCCUUGUCGGGUAAGUUCCGACCUGCACGAAUGGCGUAAUGAUGGCCAGGCUGUCUCCACCCGAGACUCAGUGAAAUUGAACUCGCUGUGAAGAUGCAGUGUACCCGCGGCAAGACGGAAAGACCCCGUGAACCUUUACUAUAGCUUGACACUGAACAUUGAGCCUUGAUGUGUAGGAUAGGUGGGAGGCUUUGAAGUGUGGACGCCAGUCUGCAUGGAGCCGACCUUGAAAUACCACCCUUUAAUGUUUGAUGUUCUAACGUGGACCCGUAAUCCGGGUUGCGGACAGUGUCUGGUGGGUAGUUUGACUGGGGCGGUCUCCUCCUAAAGAGUAACGGAGGAGCACGAAGGUUGGCUAAUCCUGGUCGGACAUCAGGAGGUUAGUGCAAUGGCAUAAGCCAGCUUGACUGCGAGCGUGACGGCGCGAGCAGGUGCGAAAGCAGGUCAUAGUGAUCCGGUGGUUCUGAAUGGAAGGGCCAUCGCUCAACGGAUAAAAGGUACUCCGGGGAUAACAGGCUGAUACCGCCCAAGAGUUCAUAUCGACGGCGGUGUUUGGCACCUCGAUGUCGGCUCAUCACAUCCUGGGGCUGAAGUAGGUCCCAAGGGUAUGGCUGUUCGCCAUUUAAAGUGGUACGCGAGCUGGGUUUAGAACGUCGUGAGACAGUUCGGUCCCUAUCUGCCGUGGGCGCUGGAGAACUGAGGGGGGCUGCUCCUAGUACGAGAGGACCGGAGUGGACGCAUCACUGGUGUUCGGGUUGUCAUGCCAAUGGCACUGCCCGGUAGCUAAAUGCGGAAGAGAUAAGUGCUGAAAGCAUCUAAGCACGAAACUUGCCCCGAGAUGAGUUCUCCCUGAGACUUAGAGUCUCCUGAAGGAACGUUGAAGACGACGACGUUGAUAGGCCGGGUGUGUAAGCGCAGCGAUGCGUUGAGCUAACCGGUACUAAUGAACCGUGAGGCUUAACCUUACAACGCCGAAG